rnacentral:rRNA from 1 species
AUGCGACCCCAGGUCAGGCGGGACUACCCGCUGAAUUUAAGCAUAUCAAUAAGUGGGAGGAAAAAC